rnacentral:rRNA from 1 species
CCUACGGGAGGCAGCAGUGGGGGAUAUUGCACAAUGGGGGGAACCCUGAUGCAGCGACGCCGCGUGGGUGAAGGAGUGCUUCGGCAUGUAAAGCCCUAUCGGCAGGGAAGAAGCAAGACGGUACCUGACUAAGAAGCCCUGGCUAACUACGUGCCAGCAGCCGCGGUAAUACGUAGGGGGCGAGCGUUAUCCGGAUUCACUGGGUGUAAAGGGAGCGUAGACGGCCAUGCAAGCCAGGGGUGAAAGCCCGGGGCCCAACCCCGGGACUGCCCUUGGAACUGUGCGGCUAGAGUGCGGGAGGGGCAGGCGGAAUGCCUGGUGUAGCGGUGAAAUGCGUAGAUAUCAGGAGGAACACCGGCGGCGAAGGCGGCCUGCUGGACUGCGACUGACGUUGAGGCUCGAAAGCGUGGGGAGCGAACAGGAUUAGAUACCCGAGUAGUC